UCUCCGUCCCUCCCUCGCUCUGUCUGUCAGUGAGUUCUGCCCCAGACUGUAUUAAUAGCCACUCUGAAAGGUUUUGCUCUGGUCCUCCCCUUCUUCCAGGAAUCCUCACGGCCGAGCGCGGGGAGAUUAGGCAUUGGGCUCGGCUGCUGAGUGAGGAGGGGCCAGCUUAUGGGCACAUCAGGGGGCUCCAUGGUGCAAACUCCAGAACAUCAAUCCUUUCUCCAGAGUGCACUGAGAGAAAGCUCACACCAGCAGUGCUGCGCCAAAGCAGAACCCCUGUCACUGUCUGUCAGUACCAUGUCAUCAGGCCUGCGGAUGGCUUAUAAACAUGCAAUGGAAACUUGGCUUAUUAUUAAGACCCGUUUCGCAUUGGACCAAGCCUACACCCACACUCGGAUGCCUCCAGAGUCCAGUUACAGGUACUCCGGGGAUAUCUCUGUGAGUCCUAAAGCAUGUUAACCUGUGCAAUAACAUGCUCUGCAUGGCUGUCAGAUGAAAGUGAACAUAUUUCUUGUAUUUCUGUUCACAUUUCUGUUUCCUGAAACACAUUUAGAUUCAUUAUUUUUAAUCAACCUGAAUUAAAAUUUUCACUGUGUUUUCUUUUUAAUUUUGAGUGUCCUUUUUUGACUGUGUCAGGAAUUAUUUGUCCAUUUGUGUUCUUUUCCUUUAGUAAUGGGUGGCUUCAUAAUGUGGAAAGUGUCUUUAAAGUUAUUUGUUCAAACCAAUAAAAUGUGCAUAGCUUUA